CUGCUGCCUUCCGUAGGAGUUUGGGCCGUGUCUCAGUCCCAAUGUGGCCGUCCGCCCUCUCAGGCCGGCUACUGAUCGUCGCUUUGGUAGGCCGUUACCCUGCCAACUGGCUAAUCAGACGCGGGUCCAUCAUAUACCACCGGAGUUUUUCACACCGGGGCAUGCGCCCCUGUGCGCUUAUGCGGUAUUAGCACCUAUUUCUAAGUGUUAUCCCCCUGUAUAUGGCAGGUUACCCACGCGUUACUCACCCGUCCGCCACUA
rnacentral:rRNA from 1 species